UGGGGAAUUUUGGACAAUGGGUGAAACCCUGAUCCAGCCAUCCCGCGUGUGCGAUGAAGGCCUUCGGGUUGUAAAGCACUUUUGGCAGGAAAGAAACGUCAUGGGUUAAUACCCCGUGAAACUGACGGUACCUGCAGAAUAAGCACCGGCUAACUACGUGCCAGCAGCCGCGGUAAUACGUAGGGUGCAAGCGUUAAUCGGAAUUACUGGGCGUAAAGCGUGCGCAGGCGGUUCGGAAAGAAAGAUGUGAAAUCCCAGAGCUCAACUUUGGAACUGCAUUUUUAACUACCGGGCUAGGGUGUGUCAGAGGGAGGUGGAAUUCCGCGUGUAGCAGUGAAAUGCGUAGAUAUGCGGAGGAACACCGAUGGCGAAGGCAGCCUCCUGGGAUAACACUGACGCUCAUGCACGAAAGCGUGGGGAGCAAACAGG
rnacentral:rRNA from 1 species